rnacentral:rRNA from 1 species
UACAGAGGUCUCAAGCGUUGUUCGGAUUCAUUGGGCGUAAAGAGCUCGUAGGCGGCUCGAAAAGUCGGCGGUGAAAACUCGGGACUCAACUCCGAGGCGCCCGUCGAUACUGUCGAGCUUGAGUCCGGUAGGGGAGUGUGGAAUUCCUGGUGUAGCGGUGAAAUGCGCAGAUAUCAGGAGGAACACCGAUGGCGAAGGCAGCACUCUGGGCCGGCACUGACGCUGAGGAGCGAAAGCUAGGGGAGCAAACAGG